GACGAACGCUGGCGGCGUGCUUAACACAUGCAAGUCGAACGAUGAAGCUAGAGCUUGCUCUGGUGGAUUAGUGGCGAACGGGUGAGUAACACGUGAGUAACCUGCCCCGAACUCUGGGAUAACUGCUGGAAACGGUAGCUAAUACCGGAUAUGACCAAUGAAGGCAUCUUCUGUUGGUGGAAAGAAUUUCGGUCAAGGAUGAGCUCGCGGCCUAUCAGCUUGUUGGUGAGGUAAAGGCUCACCAAGGCGACGACGGGUAGCCGGCCUGAGAGGAUGACCGGCCGCUGGAACAGAGACACGGUCCAGACACCUACGGGAGGCAGCAGUGGGGAAUAUUGCGCAAUGGGCGAAUGCCUGAUGCAUCAACGCCGCGUGAGGGAUGACGGCCUUCGGGUUGUAAACCUCUUUUAGCAGGGAAGAAGCGAAAGUGACGGUACCUGCAGAAAAAGCGCCGGCUAACUACGUGCCAGCAGCCGCGGUAA
rnacentral:rRNA from 1 species